GGUGACUCAGUGGGAGAGUGCUUGCCUUGCAUGCAUGAGGCCCUGGGUUCAAUUCCUCAGCACCA
rnacentral:tRNA from 1 species